AUAAUACUCCCUCCGUCCAAAAUUUUUGUCUUAGAUUUGUCUAAAUAUGGAUGUAUCAAGUCACAUUUUAGUAUUAGAUACAUUCGUAUCUAGACAAAUCUAAGACAAGAAAUUUGGGACAGAGGGAGUAUAAA
rnacentral:pre_miRNA from 1 species